rfam:Triticum aestivum genome assembly, contig: Triticum_aestivum_CS42_TGACv1_scaffold_222671_3B
UCUACUGCUCAGUUGGUAAAGCACAAUGCUCUUAACCUUGUGAACAUGGGUUCAAGCCCCAUGGUGGAA